GAAAUGCGAUAAGUAGUGUGAAUUGCAGAAUUCAGUGAAUCAUCGAAUCUUUGAACGCACAUUGCGCCUCCUGGUAUUCCGGGAGGCAUGCCUGUUCGAGCGUCAUUAACACCCCUCAAGCUUAGGUUUACCUAUUGCUUAGUCUUGGAGAUGGAAGCCAAUUCGUUGGAGUCCUCUUCGAAAUCCAAUGGCGAAGACCCUUGCUCUCCCAAGUGUAAUAAUACCUAAUGUCACGGAAGGAACCAAGAAACCUUCCGCCGAAACCCCAAAUUGUUAAUAAUGACCUCGAAUCAGGUAGGGAUACCCGCUGAACUUAA
rnacentral:misc_RNA from 1 species